CGCGGGGCAACCUGGCGGCGAGCGGCGAACGGGUGAGUAAUGCAUCGGAACAUGUCCAUUCGUGGGGGAUAGCCCGGCGAAAGCCGGAUUAAUACCGCAUACGCCCUGAGGGGGAAAGUGGGGGACCGCAAGGCCUCACGCGAUUGGGUUGGCCGAUGUCCGAUUAGCUAGUUGGCGGGGUAAGAGCCCACCAAGGCGAUGAUCGGUAGCUGGUCUGAGAGGAUGAUCAGCCACACUGGGACUGAGACACGGCCCAGACUCCUACGGGAGGCAGCAGUGGGGAAUUUUGGACAAUGGGGGAAACCCUGAUCCAGCCAUUCCGCGUGAGUGAAGAAGGCCUUCGGGUUGUAAAGCUCUUUUGUCCGGAACGAAACGGUUAGCGUGAAUAUCGCUGACUACUGACGGUACCGGAAGAAUAAGCACCGGCUAACUACGUGCCAGCAGCCGCGGUAAUACGUAGGGUGCGAGCGUUAAUCGGAAUUACUGGGCGUAAAGCGUGCGCAGGCGGUUUUGUAAGCCAGAUGUGAAAUCCCCGGGCUUAACCUGGGAAUGGCAUUUGGGACUGCAAGGCUGGAGUUUGGCAGAGGAGACUGGAAUUCCUGGUGUAGCAGUGAAAUGCGUAGAUAUCAGGAGGAACACCGAUGGCGAAGGCAGGUCUCUGGGCUGAAACUGACGCUCAUGCACGAAAGCGUGGGGAGCAAACAGGAUUAGAUACCCUGGUAGUCCACGCCCUAAACGAUGUCGACUGGUUGUUGGGGGUUUGACACUCUCAGUAACNAAGCUAACGCGUGAAGUCGACCGCCUGGGGAGUACGG
rnacentral:rRNA from 1 species